rnacentral:rRNA from 1 species
UCAUAUGCUUGUCUCAAAGAUUAAGCCAUGCAUGUCUAAGUACAAGCCGUCCAGUACGGUGAAACCGCGAAAGGCUCAUUAAAUCAGUUAUGGUUCCUUAGAUCGUACCCACGUUACUUGGAUAACUGUGGUAAUUCUAGAGCUAAUACAUGCCGAUAGAGUUCCGACCAACUGCCGAAUUAACGUUCCCUCGUUUUUCCGGUAUUCGGAAGGAACGCUUUUAUUAGAUCAAAACCGGCCAGGUAGUGUCCCAUUCGUGGGUUCUAUCAGUGGUCCGCGCAAAGACUUGGUGACUCUGAAUAACUUCGAGCUGAUCGCACGGUCUCGUACCGGCGACGCAUCUUUCAAAUGUCUGCCUUAUCAACUGUCGACGGUAGGUUCGACGCCUACCGUGGUGGUAACGGGUAACGGGGAAUCAGGGUUCGAUUCCGGAGAGGGAGCCUGAGAAACGGCUACCACAUCCAAGGAAGGCAGCAGGCGCGCAAAUUACCCACUCCCAGCUCGGGGAGGUAGUGACGAAAAAUAACGAUACGGGACUCAUUAGAGGCCCCGUAAUCGGAAUGAGUACACUUUAAAACCUUGGUUUCACGAGGAUCGAUUGGAGGGUAAG